rnacentral:rRNA from 1 species
GACGGGAUGGCAAGCGUUAUCCGGAAUUAUUGGGCGUAAAGGGUCCUGAGGUGGCUAGCCAAGUCUAUUGUGAAAUAUCAGGGCUUAACCCUGAACAUGCGGUGGAAACUAGAAAGCUUGAGUACAGUAGGGGCGGAGGGAAUUUCCGGUGGAGCGGUGAAAUGCAUAGAUAUCGGGAAGAACACCAACGGCGAAAGCACUCCGCUGGGCUGAUACUGACACUGACAGACGAAAGCUAGGGUAGCGAAAGGG